rnacentral:rRNA from 1 species
AGCUCCAAUAGCAUAUACUAAAGUUGUUGCAGUUAAAAAGCUCGUAGUUGAAUUUCGGGCCACCGGCUUGUGGUUGCCUUUCGGUUUUACCCUUGUCCGGUGGUCCUCCUCGCGGGGACGCCGUGGGUCUUCACUGGCUUGCGGAUGCGAACCGUGACGUUUACUUUGAAAAAAUUAGAGUGUUUAAAGCAGGCGUACGCUUGAAUACAUUAGCAUGGAAUAAUGGAAUAGGGCUGCUGCCCCAUUUUGUUGGUUUCUGGGACCGUAGCAAUGAUUAAUAGGGAUAGUUGGGGGCGUCAAAAUUUGAUUGUCAGAGGUGAAAUUCUUGGAUUUAUGAAAGAUUAACUUCUGCGAAAGCAUUCGCCAAGGAUGUUUUCA